rnacentral:rRNA from 1 species
AGUGAACGCUGGCGGUAGGCCUAACACAUGCAAGUCGAACGGCAGCACAGUAAGAGCUUGCUCUUACGGGUGGCGAGUGGCGGACGGGUGAGGAAUACAUCGGAAUCUACUUUUUCGUGGGGGAUAACGUAGGGAAACUUACGCUAAUACCGCAUACGACCUACGGGUGAAAGCAGGGGAUCUUCGGACCUUGCGCGAUUGAAUGAGCCGAUGUCGGAUUAGCUAGUUGGCGGGGUAAAGGCCCACCAAGGCGACGAUCCGUAGCUGGUCUGAGAGGAUGAUCAGCCACACUGGAACUGAGACACGGUCCAGACUCCGACGGGAGGCAGCAGUGGGGAAUAUUGGACAAUGGGCGCAAGCCUGAUCCAGCCAUACCGCGUGGGUGAAGAAGGCCUUCGGGUGGGAAAGCCCUUUUGUUGGGAAAGAAAAGCAGCAGGUUAAGACCCCGCUGUUCUGACGGUACCCAAAGAAUAAGCACCGGCUAACUUCGU